rnacentral:rRNA from 1 species
UACAGAGGUCUCAAGCGUUGUUCGGAUUCAUUGGGCGUAAAGGGUGUGUAGGUGGCGCCGUAAGUCGGGUGUGAAAUUUCGGAGCUUAACUCCGAAACUGCAUUCGAUACUGCGGUGCUUGAGGACUGGAGAGGAGACUGGAAUUCAUGGUGUAGCAGUGAAAUGCGUAGAGAUCAUGAGGAAGACCAGUGGCGAAGGCGGGUCUCUGGACAGUUCCUGACACUGAGACACGAAGGCCAGGGGAGCAAACGGA